UCCAGACUCCUACGGGAGGCAGCAGUGGGGAAUAUUGGGCAAUGGGCGCAAGCCUGACCCAGCGACGCCGCGUGAGGGAAGACGGUCUUCGGAUUGUAAACCUCUUUCAGCAGGGAAGACAAAAGGACGGUACCUGCAGAAGAAGCCACGGCUAACUACGUGCCAGCAGCCGCGGUAAUACGGAGGGUGCGAGCGUUAAUCGGAAUUACUGGGCGUAAAGCGCUCGUAGGCGGUAUGUCAAGUCAAGGGUGAAAUCCCCGCGCUCAACGUGGGAACUGCCUUUGAAACUGGCAAACUGGAGUGUGUGAGAGGAUAGUGGAAUUCCAGGUGUAGGAGUGAAAUCCGUAGAUAUCUGGAGGAACAUCAGUGGCGAAGGCGACUAUCUGGCACAUAACUGACGCUGAGGAGCGAAAGCGUGGGUAGCAAACAGGAUUAGAUACCCCAGUA
rnacentral:rRNA from 1 species